CAGCCGCGGUAAGACGUAGGACGCGAGCGUUAUCCGGAUUUACUGGGCGUAAAGCGCCUGCAGGCGGUCAGGUAAGUCGGUUGUGAAAGCCCCGUGCUCAACGCGGGGAGGCCAAGCGAUACUGCGUGACUUGAGGGCGGAAGAGGGGAGUGGAAUUCCCGGUGUAGCGGUAAAAUGCGCAGAUAUCGGGAGGAACACCAGUGGCGAAGGCGGCUCCCUGGACCGCACCUGACGCUCAGAGGCGAAAGCUAGGGGAGCGAACAGGAUUAGAGACCCUGGUAGUCCUAGCCCUAAACGCUGGAUGCUAGGUGUAGGGCUGAUGAGGCUCUGUGCCGGAGCGAACGCGAUAAGCAUCCCGCCUGGGAACUACGGCCGCAAGGCUAAAACUCAAACGAAUUGACGGGGACCCGCACAAGCAGCGGAGCGUGUGGUUUAAUUCGAUGCUACACGAAGAACCUUACCUGGGUUUGACAUGCUGGUGGUACCGAACCGAAAGGGGAGGGACCCUUCGGGGAGCCAACACAGGUGCUGCAUGGCUGUCGUCAGCUCGUGCCGUGAGGUGUCGGGUUAAGUCCCGUAACGAGCGCAACCCUUGCUCUUAGUUAUACGUGUCUAAGGGGACUGCCGGCGACAAGCCGGAGGAAGGUGGGGAUGACGUCAAGUCAGCAUGGCCUUGAUAUCCAGGGCUACACACACGCUACAAUGGCCGGUACAAAGGGCAGCCAAGCCGCGAGGUGGAGGGAAUGGACAGCAUACCACCAAAGCCGGUCCCAGUUGCAGGCUGCAACCCGUCUGCAUGAAGUUGGAGUUGCUAGUAACCGCGCGUCAGCCAUAGUGCGGUGAAUACGUACCCGGGU
rnacentral:rRNA from 1 species